UACUUUGGUGUUUUGCAGCUCUGUUUCGUUCCCUGACGGUAACCAAAUCUAGAUGUAGGAAUCUGUUGAGCAGGAGAGUGACACAUGUCUUCCCGAAGGCUGUCCAGGCUGCAGUGGUGAUGAAGAAGACACGAUCAUCACCCCGAGAUCGAUCGUAGCGAAUUGGAAAACUCAUGGUGAAUUUGCUUCCACUCCAAGGCAAUGUCGAGGUAUGAAGGGUGCUUGUACUGCCUUCCAAAGUGAAGAGGAGAUGAACAUGGCUUUGCAUAGCUGUUCUAUGCCAACUUACCCACUCUUGCUGGCACCGUAGUGGCAUAUUGCACAUUUCGUGGACGAACAACUCUAGUCACUAGUGGCUAGUGAGCAACACUAACAGACCAGAAUGCUUUGCUAUCAACUCCUGGCUUUCCAUCGGCAUGGUGUUCAGCUGCAGCGGCAUCUGGUCCGGGGAGUUCAAGUUAGUUGCUGGAUGGCUGCACUGACACAGGAUGGGUUUGCGUUGGCAAUGCGAUACGGCAGUCAUCCCACAUCACGAGCUACAUGUUUAUGUAAUUUAUAUUGUCGCUCGUCCAGCAACGUCAAGGCUCUGCAUGUAAACACAGGAGAACACCAUAAUACUACUCAGGGGAUAAUAAUUUUGGAUAUCAAUUUCGUGACAAUUAUUAGAUUCACACAAUAUUCACAACGUAUGCAACACGAUGCUGUCUAUUGACACUACUUCAAACUGAAGUGCUCACUACUCCUCUCCCGUUUUCAUCUCCCUCUACCUUAUGAAUACUCUGCAUUACUGGUUUCGUUUCUACCCUUUCCAUUGCUGCCAGCUCCCAGUCUUUUUCAAUGCACAGCACCACCUUGACAGUCAUUUUUGUGAUUUGAUGUACACAUACUUUGAAGUUCAAAUUCGAAUUACAUGAUCAGAUUUUUGUUCCACAUUUUCUAUUUAUUUUUACUUCAAGCACAACCCUACCGAUGAAGGGAAAGAAGCAGCAGAGAGA